GCACUAUAUCACAAGUUUCAGAAAGUUACAAGACUCUUACAAUCAAAAGCUAUCAACUCCUUGAUCUGAUGAUUGCUAAGAUCUAACUCGUAUCCACGAUUCACUGUCACCGUGCUUGAUCAUCGUUCAGAUCCCUUUAGAACGGAUUUCACACCUUGAACUCCUUCAAGGAUUUCGAUUUCUCCAAUUAGGUUGAAGAAAAUUUGUGCUAAGAUUUGUUUCUGAGUUCUUCGGAAGAUGGAGAACACUUCUCUAUAGGUUAUAUUGAUGGAGGCUACUCAGAUGAUCUUUUUAGAAGUGUGUUUUCCUUUUAUAGUGGCUGAAAACCUUAAAAACCGCAGAUCCUGUUGCUACAGUAUUGCACAGCUUGCUCCCGCGAGGAUCCCACAAACUUUGUCGCUCCCGUGACGAUCCCGCAAGGUCUGUGGCAAAAUACAAACUCUUAGCUUCUUCCCGCGACGGUUCCGCGACCUCCUGCGAGGUCUGUGACAAAGUACAAGCUCUCGAUUUCUUCUUGUGACCUCCCACGAGCUCUCGCAAAGUACCCAUGAGCUUCUUUGUGAAAUUCAGCUCUCGAUAUCUUCUAGCGACCUCCCGCGAACAUCCUGCGAACUACCCGCGAGGUCUUGAAACAAAUGCUAGCACACUCCUUUUGUCUUCGAGAUCCCUCGAAGUCUCAUUUCAUCAUUGACUAUCUAUCAUACAAGACUCCCUUAGCCCAAGCUUGUACGAAUAUGCUUGAAAAACUUACCAAAUGCUUGUGAUUGACUUGACACAACUCCAAAUAACAUUAAACAUGAUGUGUCACGAAAUCUAGCCAAUUAUGAAACCUUUCAUAAUUAAAGGGUUUAAAAAAGGUGCUAUCUUAAAAUUAUAAACUAGGUCAUCUAGGAAGCCAUUCAUGAUAGAACUUUUAUUUCUUGUCUCCAAUUGGAUCGCAAGUGGUGG
rnacentral:lncRNA from 1 species